rnacentral:rRNA from 1 species
UUAGGAAUCUUGCGCAAUGGACGAAAGUCUGACGCAGCAACGCCGCGUGAGGGAUGACGGCUUUCGGGUUGUAAACCUCUUUCAGCAGGAACGAAAAUGACGGUACCUGCAGAAGAAGCUCCGGCCAACUACGUGCCAGCAGCCGCGGUAAUACGUAGGGAGCAAGCGUUGUCCGGAUUUAUUGGGCGUAAAGAGCUCGUAGGCGGUUUAGAAAGUCAGGUGUGAAACCUCCAGGCUCAACCUGGAGACGCCACUUGAUACUUCUAUGACUUGAGUUCGGUAGGGGACCAUGGAAUUCCUGGUGUAGCGGUGAAAUGCGCAGAUAUCAGGAGGAACACCGAUGGCGAAGGCAGUGGUCUGGGCCGAUACUGACGCUGAGGAGCGAAAGCGUGGGGAGCGAACAG